UACGGAGGGUGCAAGCGUUAUCCGGAUUCACUGGGUUUAAAGGGUGCGUAGGCGGUUUGGUAAGUCUGAUGUGAAAUCUAUGGGCUCAACUCAUAGUCUGCAUCGGAAACUGCCGGGCUUGAGUGUGGGAGAGGUGAGUGGAAUUCCUGGUGUAGCGGUGAAAUGCGUAGAUAUCAGGAGGAACACCUGUGGCGAAAGCGGCUCACUGGACCAUACUGACGCUGAUGCACGAAAGCUAGGGGAGCAAACAGG
rnacentral:rRNA from 1 species